GCUUGCUCUGUGGGAUCAGUGGCGAACGGGUGAGUAACACGUGAGCAACCUACCCCUGACUCUGGGAUAAGCGCUGGAAACGGCGUCUAAUACUGGAUACGAGUGGCGACCGCAUGGUCAGCUACUGGAAAGAUUUAUUGGUUGGGGAUGGGCUCGCGGCCUAUCAGCUUGUUGGUGAGGUAAUGGCUCACCAAGGCGUCGACGGGUAGCCGGCCUGAGAGGGUGACCGGCCACACUGGGACUGAGACACGGCCCAGACUCCUACGGGAGGCAGCAGUGGGGAAUAUUGCACAAUGGGCGCAAGCCUGAUGCAGCAACGCCGCGUGAGGGAUGACGGCCUUCGGGUUGUAAACCUCUUUUAGCAGGGAAGAAGCGAAAGUGACGGUACCUGCAGAAAAAGCGCCGGCUAACUACGUGCCAGCAGCCGCGGUAAUACGUAGGGCGCAAGCGUUAUCCGGAAUUAUUGGGCGUAAAGAGCUCGUAGGCGGUUUGUCGCGUCUGCUGUGAAAUCCGGAGGCUCAACCUCCGGCCUGCAGUGGGUACGGGCAGACUAGAGUGCGGUAGGGGAGAUUGGAAUUCCUGGUGUAGCGGUGGAAUGCGCAGAUAUCAGGAGGAACACCGAUGGCGAAGGCAGAUCUCUGGGCCGUAACUGACGCUGAGGAGCGAAAGGGUGGGGAGCAAACAGGCUUAGAUACCCUGGUAGUCCACCCCGUAAACGUUGGGAACUAGUUGUGGGGUCCAUUCCACGGAUUCCGUGACGCAGCUAACGCAUUAAGUUCCCCGCCUGGGGAGUACGGCCGCAAGGCUAAAACUCAAAGGAAUUGACGGGGACCCGCACAAGCGGCGGAGCAUGCGGAUUAAUUCGAUGCAACGCGAAGAACCUUACCAAGGCUUGACAUAUACGAGAACGGGCCAGAAAUGGUCAACUCUUUGGACACUCGUAAACAGGUGGUGCAUGGUUGUCGUCAGCUCGUGUCGUGAGAUGUUGGGUUAAGUCCCGCAACGA
rnacentral:rRNA from 1 species